CAAGGAUUAGUUUAAACAAAACAAUUGACUUCGACUCAAAAAACUUCAGUUAAUAACCUGAAAUCCUUCU
rnacentral:tRNA from 1 species